CCUACGGGAGGCAGCAGUGGGGAAUUUUGGACAAUGGGCGCAAGCCUGAUCCAGCCAUGCCGCGUGUGGGAAGAAGGCCUUCGGGUUGUAAACCACUUUUGUCAGGGAAGAAACGGCUUUUUCUAAUACAGAGAGCUAAUGACGGUACCUGAAGAAUAAGCACCGGCUAACUACGUGCCAGCAGCCGCGGUAAUACGUAGGGUGCAAGCGUUAAUCGGAAUUACUGGGCGUAAAGCGUGCGCAGGCGGCUUUGCAAGACAGAUGUGAAAUCCCCGGGCUCAACCUGGGAACUGCAUUUGUGACUGCAUGGCUAGAGUACGGUAGAGGGGGAUGGAAUUCCGCGUGUAGCAGUGAAAUGCGUAGAUAUGCGGAGGAACACCGAUGGCGAAGGCAAUCCCCUGGACCUGUACUGACGCUCAUGCACGAACGACGUGGGAGGACGAACGAGGAGUAGUACUACCGUACGGUAGUACCGACCGACCCGUAACCGUACUAGU
rnacentral:rRNA from 1 species